rnacentral:rRNA from 1 species
CGAGCACGCGCGUGUGGCAUAUCAAUAAGCGGAGGAAAAGAAACUAACAAGGAUUCCCUUAGUAACGGCGAGUGAAGCGGGAAGAGCUCAAAUUUGAAAUCUUCAAGGUUCUACCUUGACGAAUUGUAGUUUAUAGAAGUGUUUUCUGUUAGUAGAGUGGCAAAAGUUCUUUGGAAUAGGACAUCAUAGAGGGUGAGAAUCCCGUAUUUGGUCAUUCUUUCUAGCUUUGUGAUACACUUUCAACGAGUCGGAUUGUUUGGGAAUGCAGUCCAAAAUGGGUGGUAAAUUUCAUCUAAAGCUAAAUAUUGGCGAGAGACCGAUAGCGAACAAGUACCGUGAGGAAAGAUGAAAAGAACUUUGAAAAGAGAGUUAAACAGUACGUGAAAUUGUCAAAAGGGAAGCGUUUGACACCAGUGUUGUUUUUUCCGAAAAUCAAUCACGAAUGUUUUGUUUUUGAGGAGUUAUGACUUCAUCGGCUUGCUCCUUUCUUUACGAAACUUUCUUAAUGCACUUUUCGGUUAACAAGUCAACAUCAAUUUCUUUUGUUGUAAAAGGGUAUGAGGAAGGUGGCUUUCUUUUCGGAGAAAGUGUUUAUAGCCUUGUGCCUCUGCAAUCGGAGAGAUUGAGGUCUGCAGCGUAGAUCCUUCGGGGUUAGAUACGUUUGUGCUAAGUUAUAGCUUUUCAUAGACAACUUGUUGACUAUGUUAAGUCUUGUAAGUUACUCGCUAGAUGCUAUUUUACCUACGCUUAGGAUGUUGAUGUGAUACUGCGAGCA